AGCAGGGGAACUUCAACUAACAACGUGCACGUCCUGUGCACAACGUUGAAGUCAUCACAUCCUGUGAA
rnacentral:sRNA from 1 species